UACGUAGGGUGCAAGCGUUGUCCGGAAUUAUUGGGCGUAAAGAGCUCGUAGGCGGUCUGUCGCGUCGGAUGUGAAAACUCGGAGCUUAACUCCGAGCCUGCAUUCGAUACGGGCAGACUAGAGUUCGGUAGGGGAGACUGGAAUUCCUGGUGUAGCGGUGGAAUGCGCAGAUAUCAGGAGGAACACCGGUGGCGAAGGCGGGUCUCUGGGCCGAUACUGACGCUGAGGAGCGAAAGCGUGGGGAGCGAACAGG
rnacentral:rRNA from 1 species